AUCAUAUUUCAUCUUUCAUCAACCAAUUUCAUCUCUAGUUGAUAAAACAGACUAGAAGAUGUUAAAGAACACCAGAUAGUGCUUUAUUCAUUCUGGAAACUCAAUGCCAACUGGAACAUCAGCUUCCAUUUAUCCUCCAGAAAACGUGCUGCUGGCCUUUUAUCAGACAACAGUAGUAACAACAUAAUCAUGUUGUAAAUGGGACUAAACACUCUUUCUUUUAAUAAAUAACAAGUGAAAUCCUCUUAAAUUGUUGAA
rnacentral:lncRNA from 1 species